rnacentral:lncRNA from 1 species
GCUGUUGUUGAUUUUUUGUGUGGUUGAUUAUUUAGGGUUUUUGUUUGCGUUUGGAAGAUUUAAGAGCAAGUGGUAGUGAUGGCAACACCGCUGCACCAAGCUCCAACUGCUGAUAUUGUAUGAAACCUUUUUUUCUUUGUUUUUUUUUCGUUGAUCUUUUUUCUGUUUCGAUUUGGGCUUUACAUCUUUGAUUGGGGUUUGAGGAAUUUCUUGGUUUAAAUUUUUGUAGGUUGGUAAUGCAUUUGUUCAUCAGUACUACCUUAUAUUGCACCAAUCGCCCCAGCUCGUUCACCGAUUUUAUCAGGAUAUUAGUAAACUUGGUCGCCCUGAAGAAAAUGGGGCUAUGAGUAUUACCACAACUAUGCAAGUGAGCGUCUCUUUCUCUCUUUUCAUUGGUUUUACAUGUAUGUGUAUGUGGUGUGCAUUUGUGUGUUUAUAUCUAUUGUUUCUUCUCUUAGCGACGCCUACGGUAUAGCUAGUUUGUGGUAACACAAUGUUUCAAAAUAAUGGAAUGAUUUUGUUUAAAUAGAGGGCUAGGUGAACUGAUUAGGAAAUUUAUUGUACCAUUUGCGGCUGAGAAUCUCUUAUGAAGUAGCAUAUGCAUGAGUUGAGUGUGGAAUUAGUUUGCACUUCUGAUUAGGAGAGUUGUUGAUUUUCUCAUUUCUGGUUGACACUUGGGCGCAGGCUAUCAAUGACAAGAUACUUGCACUUCAUUACGGAGAGUUCAGUGCUGAGAUCACCACUGUAGAUGCACAAGAAUCAUACAAUGGGGGUGUCAUUGUUCUCGUGACUGGUUAUUUGACUGGAAAGGACAGUGUGAGGCGGAAAUUUUCGCAGAGUUUCUUCCUGGCACCUCAAGACAAAGGCUACUUUGUCUUGAAUGAUGUCUUUAGGUAUGUAGAUGAUGCCUACCAUGUCGGGAGCCAGGCUACCACGAAUGAUGUUGAAGCCCCUAUUACUCCUGACCAAGGUAAUUAAAAAAAUCCAGAAUAUUUUCUAAAUUAAAGCAUUUUCUUUUCUCAAAUUAGAUGUUUAAGACGUUGUUUCUUUCUGCAGACCAUUCUCCUGUGCAGGAGAACCAUGUUUCUGAUCAAACAGCUAUUUCAUCAGAGGAAGUCAGCGGGGAAGAAGUGGACAAUCCCUCAGAGAAUGGAGAUGGUACUAUCGAAGAAGAGGAAGCACCAGUACCUGAGGUCGUUGAUGCAAUUCCAGAUGAUACGCAUGUGGCUGCCGAAUCCGACUCUAAAGUGGAAGAAGUGCCAAAGAAGUCAUAUGCUUCGAUUGUAAGUAGUUUAGUACACACUACCCUUCUUAACUUCUUACUGGACACUUGUGAUUGUCUUGCUUCAGUUAUUUCAUUUUUUGUUAUUUCUACAUCUAUGUGGUGGUUCAAGGUGAACGAGGGUGUUGGCAAAAAUGGUUUCUCUUGCCGUAUCUUAUCACCUAUCUAAAUUUGUUGAAUUACAUACAAAACACUAUUGUUACAGGUGAAGGUCAUGAAGGACAGUGCUUUGCCUGUAUCAUCUCCUCCUCCAGCUUCUCUGAGGUCCAUAAUGAAGAUCCAAGAGCAACCACCUGCUUCUGCAACAUCUCCAGCCCCAGCAUCUGAGAAACAAGUUACCAACUCAAAUGCUACUGAAAAUGGGAAUAACCAAGAGGGUAGGGCUUGUUCGGUUCUUGUGCUUCAGUAAUUUCUGAUGAUAUCUUUACUUUGUGCGAAAGUAGGUGCUGGCAUUGUUAUGUUUGAUCAAUUCAUGUUCAUAUGUUUGUUUAUGAACAGCUGAGGGUCCAUCUAUUUACCUAAAAGGACUGCCUCCAUCUGCUACUCAUGCUCUACUUGAGAAUGAGUUCAGGAAGUUUGGAACUAUAAGGGCUGGUGGUAUUCAAGUUAAAACCCAGAAGGUACAUUCAAGUUCAUUAUCCAUUGGAGUAUUGCUAAUUUUAUUUGCGACAAAUAAUUAUUCUUUCAUAUUUUGUGUGACAGGGAUUUUGUUUUGGCUUCGUGGAAUUUGAAGAGGAAAAUGCUGUGCAAAGUGCAAUUGAGGUAUGCAUAAGAUUUUGCUGCCAUGACCUUUUUUUUGUUUUUUCCCCCCCGGUGUCUUAUUACGUCGACUUUUUGCAUGUAAUGUGUAAGAAACAAGAAGCAUUUGUUAACUUACAUGCAGAUGGAGGCAUGAAGUGAAAUUUGAGGUUAUUUCUGUCAUGUGAUUAAUGCUUCUGUUACAUGUUGAGAGACUUUGUGGGGAUGCACUAUCUUUGUUAAUUUGCAUGCACUCAUUCGUUUAUUCUCUGGGAUUGUAUUUGUUGUUGAGAUCUUCGUUUAUUUAUUAAUUUCAGUUUGUGAUUUCUUUUCCUAUACCACGUAUAUGCAAAAUGUUAGACAAGAAUGAGGUAAUCGUUGAUUGAAAGAUGCAUGAAUAUGUUGUAAUCAUACAUGGUAUUUUUCAUCUCUUCAUUUAUGAUGGUGGUACAAUGUUGAAUGUUUUUAAAGUUUCUUCUGAAGAUGAGUUAUAUAUUAUCCUUAUUUGACAUGGUUUAAACAACCUUCAGUGCCAAAUUUUUUUAUGGCAAGGGAAUACUGGUGCAAUGGGGCUGCUUUGGCAUCACUUUAGUUUGUAGCUAGAUUCUCACCCUUUCUGAUGAGGGGAAGUCCAUUAAACAUCCUUGCAUUAGAUUUUUUUUCCCCCAAAUAUAUUUUAGCUUUUAAUAUAUAGUGUUGUCUGUAUUUAUGUUUCAGGCUUCGCCUAUUGUGAUUAGUGGGCACCGUGUAGUUGUUGAACCAAAGAAAUCUACUCGAGGCAAGUUGACUUUUAUGCUUAGAUUACUGGAUUCAUUUUUCUUGUUUUAUAAGUUUUGAAAGUGGUUGCUUUCUAUUGACAGGGGGCAAUAGGGGACGAUUUUCAUCCAGAGCUGGUAAUGGAUACAGGAAUGAGGGGACAAGAGGGCGUGGGAACUAUGGGGGUGGCAGAGGUUACGGCCGGGGUGAUUUUGGUAACAGGUCUGAGUUUGAAAAUAGAGGUGGCAUUAGGGGAGGAUUUUCAAACCGUGGAGGUGAUGGAUAUCAGAGGAAUGACAAUGGUGGUCGUGUAAACCGUGCUGGUAGGCUGGCUGUCAAUGUGACGGCUAAAAAUGUGGCACCACGUGUGUCUGCUCCUGCUUGAGGAAACCGUCCUUUUUUUUUUUUCNNNNNNNNNNNNNNNNNNNNNNNNNNNNNNNNNNNNNNNNNNNNNNNNNNNNNNNNNNNNNNNNNNNNNNNNNNNNNNNNNGGGGGGGGGGGUUGAUGGUGUUGGGGCAUUGGAGAGGAGGAUAAUUUCUAUUGUAGUUUAGUGAUUUGACAAGUGAUUUAAUAGCAUUUAGAGUUAAAGAUCAGGAUUCAUUUUCCAUUUGUGGAUGAGCUUCUGAAGUUUCUUGAGGAAUGACCUUGGCCCUUACCCACGUUUGCUGUAACUGAGUGGUCAUGGGUAUCUGGUCUACGAGUUUUUGUUUGGUAUACUUGUGUCAUAUGUCUAGUCUGCUGGGGAGAGAUAUUUUGGAACCUUUAUUUUAAACAAUGGAUGAUUAUCUAUGUUUUUCGGACAUGGUGAAUGAUAUAACAGUUAGGUUUCUAAUCUUGCUCAGCA